rnacentral:rRNA from 1 species
UACGAAGGGGACUAGCGUUGUUCGGAAUCACUGGGCGUAAAGCGCACGAGGCGGAUGUGUCAGUCAGGGGUGGAAAUCCCGGGGCUCAACCUCGGAACUGCCUUUGAUACAGCACGUCUCGAGUCCGGAAGAGGUGGGUGGAAUUCCUAGUGUAGAGGUGAAAUUCGUAGAUAUUGGAAGAACACCGGUGGCGAAGGCGGCUCACUGGCCCGGUACUGACGCUGAGGUGCGAAAGCGUGGGGGAGCAAACA